UGGGGAAUUUUGCACAAUGGGGGAAACCCUGAUGCAGCGACGCCGCGUGAUUUAGAAGGCCUUCGGGUUGUAAAAAUCUUUUGUAUGGGAAGAAAAUGACAGUACCAUACGAAUAAGGACCGGCUAAUUACGUGCCAGCAGCCGCGGUAAUACGUAGGGCGCAAGCGUUAUCCGGAAUUAUUGGGCGUAAAGAGCUUGUAGGCGGUUCGUCGCGUCUGGUGUGAAAGCCCAUCGCUUAACGGUGGGUUUGCGCCGGGUACGGGCGGGCUAGAGUGCAGUAGGGGAGACUGGAAUUCCCGGUGUAACGGUGGAAUGUGUAGAUAUCGGGAAGAACACCAAUGGCGAAGGCAGGUCUCUGGGCUGUUACUGACGCUGAGAAGCGAAAGCGUGGGGAGCGAACAGG
rnacentral:rRNA from 1 species